rnacentral:lncRNA from 1 species
AUGGUCAGAGACCUGGAGGACCGGGGGCAGUCGUUGCCUCGCCUACACACUCAUCUGGGAGCGGAGGCUCUGCCACGGGUGUUCGUCCAGACGUCCGUGGAGGGGGCGGAGCCUGGCUGGAGCCCCUCCCCUGGGAAUUCGGUCGGCGGGGUCGCUGACCUAGCGCGCGGCGCUCUGAGGCAAAUGCCGCCGGGAAGAACUUCGCGGGUCAGUCCAAGGCUCCCCGCAGUGGCUCCCGGAAACUCUAAUCCUUGAACACACAAUGUAAGAGAUAUGCAUGUAGCCUCACACUGGCAGGCAUCCAUUUUGCAGUCAACAAAAUUCCCAAAAGAAGAUGAUGAGUUUUUUCUUGCUGACAAAUCAGAGCCAUGAGAGUUAUGGGCCAACCAGAAAGCUGCACAUGAACUGCACGUGUACCUUGUAACCUCAGCUUCAACCUGUAAGAUACCUUACCUUUAAUCCCUCAAGAGUUGUAGAAUUAAGUGAAAGCUGCUCUACUUCUUCCUGUGUACUCUGCAAAAAUAAAUAGCUACUUUCUUCCA